rnacentral:rRNA from 1 species
AUUGAACGCUGGCGGCAUGCCUUACACAUGCAAGUCGAACGGCAGCACGGGAACAAUCCUGGUGGCGAGUGGCGAACGGGUGAGUAAUAUAUCGGAACGUGCCCAGUAGCGGGGAUAACUGCUCGAAAGAGCAGCUAAUACCGCAUACGACCUGAGGGUGAAAGGGGGGGAUUGCAAGACCUCUCGCUAUUGGAGCGGCCGAUAUCAGAUUAGCUAGUUGGUGGGGGAAAGGCCUACCAAGGCAACGAUCUGUAGUUGGUCUGAGAGGACGACCAGCAACACUGGGACUGGGGCACGGCCCAGACUCCGACGGGAGGGAGCAGUGGGGAAGUUUGGACAAUGGGCGCAAGCCUGAUCCAGCAAUGCCGCGUGCAGGAAGAAGGCCUUCGGGUUGUAAACUGCUUUUGUCAGGGAGGAAAUCCUCUAGGUUAAUACCCUUGGGGGGAUGACGGUACCUGAAGAAUAAGCACCGGCUAACUACGUGCCAGCCGCCGCAGUAA